GACGAACGCUGGCGGCGUGCCUAAUACAUGCAAGUCGAACGAACUCUGGUAUUGAUUGGUGCUUGCAUCAUGAUUUACAUUUGAGUGAGUGGCGAACUGGUGAGUAACACGUGGGAAACCUGCCCAGAAGCGGGGGAUAACACCUGGAAACAGAUGCUAAUACCGCAUAACAACUUGGACCGCAUGGUCCGAGCUUGAAAGAUGGCUUCGGCUAUCACUUUUGGAUGGUCCCGCGGCGUAUUAGCUAGAUGGUGGGGUAACGGCUCACCAUGGCAAUGAUACGUAGCCGACCUGAGAGGGUAAUCGGCCACAUUGGGACUGAGACACGGCCCAAACUCCUACGGGAGGCAGCAGUAGGGAAUCUUCCACAAUGGACGAAAGUCUGAUGGAGCAACGCCGCGUGAGUGAAGAAGGGUUUCGGCUCGUAAAACUCUGUUGUUAAAGAAGAACAUAUCUGAGAGUAACUGUUCAGGUAUUGACGGUAUUUAACCAGAAAGCCACGGCUAACUACGUGCCAGCAGCCGCGGUAAUACGUAGGAGGCAAGCGUUGUCCGGAUUUAUUGGGCGUAAAGCGAGCGCAGGCGGUUUUUUAAGUCUGAUGUGAAAGCCUUCGGCUCAACCGAAGAAGUGCAUCGGAAACUGGGAAACUUGAGUGCAGAAGAGGACAGUGGAACUCCAUGUGUAGCGGUGAAAUGCGUAGAUAUAUGGAAGAACACCAGUGGCGAACGCGGCUGUCUGGUCUGUAACUGACGCUGAGGCUCGAAAGUAUGGGUAGCAAACAGGAUUAGAUACCCUGGUAGUCCAUACCGUAAACGAUGAAUGCUAAGUGUUGGAGGGUUUCCGCCCUUCAGUGCUGCAGCUAACGCAUUAAGCAUUCCGCCUGGGGAGUACGGCCGCAAGGCUGAAACUCAAAGGAAUUGACGGGGGCCCGCACAAGCGGUGGAGCAUGUGGUUUAAUUCGAAGCUACGCGAAGAACCUUACCAGGUCUUGACAUACUAUGCAAAUCUAAGAGAUUAGACGUUCCCUUCGGGGACAUGGAUACAGGUGGUGCAUGGUUGUCGUCAGCUCGUGUCGUGAGAUGUUGGGUUAAGUCCCGCAACGAGCGCAACCCUUAUUAUCAGUUGCCAGCAUUAAGUUGGGCACUCUGGUGAGACUGCCGGUGACAAACCGGAGGAAGGUGGGGAUGACGUCAAAUCAUCAUGCCCCUUAUGACCUGGGCUACACACGUGCUACAAUGGAUGGUACAACGAGUUGCGAACUCGCGAGAGUAAGCUAAUCUCUUAAAGCCAUUCUCAGUUCGGAUUGUAGGCUGCAACUCGCCUACAUGAAGUCGGAAUCGCUAGUAAUCGCGGAUCAGCAUGCCGCGGUGAAUACGUUCCCGGGCCUUGUACACACCGCCCGUCACACCAUGAGAGUUUGUAACACCCAAAGUCGGUGGGGUAACCUUUUAGGAACCAGCCGCCUAAGGUGGGACAGAUGAUUAGGGUG
rnacentral:rRNA from 1 species